GAACUGUCAGCGCUCAAUCUUCUCUUCGGUUGCUUUGGGGCGGGAUGGCUCCCCCAGAGGCUAGUUCUUGUGUUGUCUGCCCUUCAAGGGAAACACACCACAUGACGGUCUCUCUCCAUCCGACGCCUCCNAAAGGAUGACGUAGGACAACAGUGUGUCCCCCGUGUUCCACCAAUCCCUCACCAGUCGCGUGGUCCUUGGGGACGCGUGGCACUCUCGAACCCGGCCUACGCCGUGGAUGAGGACUCCCGUCCAAGUCCCAAGAGAAGCCCCGAUCUCACGAGCAACGGCCGUGCCGGCCCCUCAGCUGCCCAGGCAGUGCGGGGGGCACGCUACGUCCCUAAGAAAUGCUACCUGGUU
rnacentral:misc_RNA from 1 species